AUUGAACGCUGGCGGCAGGCCUAACACAUGCACGUCGCGCGGAGAGGCGGAAGGGUGAGUACUGCCUAGGAAUCUGCCUGGUAGUGGGGGAUAAAGUACGGAAACGGGCGCUAAUACCGCAUAAUAUCAGAUCGACCUAGGUCGGAUUAGCUAGUUGGUGGGGUAAAGGCCUACCAAGGCGGCGAUCCGUAAAUGGUCUGAGAGGAUGAUCAGUCACACUGGAACUGAGACACGGCCCAGACUCCUACGGGAGGCAGCAGUGGGGAAUAUUGGGCAAUGGUCGAAAGCCUGAUCCAGCCAUGCCGCGUGUGUGAAGAAGGUCUUCGGAUUGUAAAGCACUGUAAUUUGAGAGGCGUUACCAACAGAAUAAGCACCGGCUAACUUCGUGCCAGCAGCCGCGGUAAUAC
rnacentral:rRNA from 1 species